rnacentral:tRNA from 1 species
GCCUUCGUGGUAUAACGGUAGCACACUCGGGGCAUAAUCCAGAGGUCUGGGUUUGAGUCCCGGCGAGGACA